CCAGUUCCUUUUAUAGUACAAGAACAAGUAUUUUGUGCUGUCAAUGAAGAACAACAUGACAAGCAUAUGUCUGAAUGCUUCUGUUGAAAAUUAAUAAUCAGAGACAGCAUCACGUAGAUGAUAAAAAUGAUUGUAUCAAGUGUCUGUGCUCUUUGUUUGUUGUGAAUACAAAGAUUGUUGAAGUUUUUGACGCUGCCAGCUGCCAACUGCCACAUCUCAGCCAGCCCACGCUGCCGCUUUUCCGCCAUUUUGCACGUGUAUACAGAGUUUUGGCCAAGCCUUGUGAUGCAGUACAGAGUGGUUUACACUAUGCUUAUCUGAAAAUGGUGAGGGUGACUGAGAAAACAUUGCAGUUCGAGAGGAAAGUCAGAAAAUAAGGUUGUUUUGAAAGUGACAAUGAACAAAAGAUUUUAUCAGUGGGAACAUGAAGGACAUGCCAAACACACUACUAUGGAGGCAGAAGGAAAUCAAGUCUCAGUCUUCGGAUAUUUUCUUUUGCAAUCCUCACUUGAACUUAGAUAUUAUUCACUCCUAGUGUUCAGUCUGAAUUUAAAAUAAAAUGAUGUGAGGUUGAAAAUCAUUUUGUAUGAGUUACUACUUGUAGUAAAAUUUAUUAAUCCCAAAAAAGUGGUUGUUUGGUCUUAUAUCUUGACAACAGGCAAUUAACAACCUUGAACCACAUUAGUAACAAUUUCUUUGCCUGUUUUGCAAGUACUCAAGAGUUAUUAAUAGCCAGAUACUGUAGUGCAAUUGGAUAGAAGAGCAUUCUCAGUAUUAAUGGCCCUGUGUAUUUCUAAAUUGAUAUAUAUAUAUAUAUAUAACUAACUGCAGACAGUACUGUUUCGGCCUUCUGGGCCUCAUAUAUAUAUUCUAACUUCAGUACAUGGAAGAUUAUCUGGUUUGAAGCAACAUAAGCUUCCUUUUGCUUGAGACAAAGUCUUAAUGCCAUCUUUUAUGUUAUGUCUUUUGAAGGUGGAAUGCAAAGUAGUGACUGGUGACUUGUCUUCCUCAGUCUCCACUCCAAAGAAAGCAGAUUGAAGGGAAGAUUACUUGUAGCCCCUUAGGUUAAAGAAUUUAUCCCUUAGUAUUCCCUCUGAACAUUUUCUCAAUCAAUUUUUUUCUGUCUUGGUUGUCUCAUCUUGCCUGAAGGCACAUCAGUCACGUGCAUGAUGGCUUCGGAAAUUCUUGACCUGAUUUGCAAUUCAUUUGGGAGGUAUCUGUGUAAGGAGAAUCAUCUUUUCAAGUAUUUGUAAAAUUGAAUGAGUUGUUUCUUUUGAAGGCUUGAAAUUGAUGUGGAUGGGUGAACAUU